rnacentral:rRNA from 1 species
UACGUAGGGUGCAAGCGUUAAUCGGAAUUACUGGGCGUAAAGCGUGCGCAGGCGGUUAUGCAAGACAGAUGUGAAAUCCCCGGGCUCAACCUGGGAACUGCAUUUGUGACUGCAUAGCUGGAGUGCGGCAGAGGGGGAUGGAAUUCCGCGUGUAGCAGUGAAAUGCGUAGAUAUCUGGAGGAAUACCGGUGGCGAAGGCGGCAUCCUGGACCGGCAUUGACGCUGAUGAGCGAAAGCGUGGGGAGCGAUCCGG